rnacentral:rRNA from 1 species
GCCCCCAAUUUCUAAGGUUGACCUCGGAUCAGGUAGGAAUACCCGCUGAACUUAAGCAUAUCAAUAAGCGGAGGAAAAGAAACCAACAGGGAUUGCCCUAGUAACGGCGAGUGAAGCGGCAACAGCUCAAAUUUGAAAUCUGCCUUCGGGCCGAGUUGUAAUUUGUAGAGGAAGCUUUUGGUGAGGCACCUUCUGAGUCCCCUGGAACGGGGCGCCAUAGAGGGUGAGAGCCCCGUAUAGUCGGAUGCCGAUCCAAUGUAAAGCUCCUUCGACGAGUCGAGUAGUUUGGGAAUGCUGCUCAAAAUGGGAGGUAAAUUUCUUCUAAAGCUAAAUACCGGCCAGAGACCGAUAGCGCACAAGUAGAGUGAUCGAAAGAUGAAAAGCACCUUGAAAAGGGGGUUAAAUAGCACGUGAAAUUGUUGAAAGGGAAGCGUUUGCGGCCAGACUUGCGCCGCCCCGAUCAUCCGGUGUUCUCACCGGUGCACUCGGGGCGGCGCAGGCCAGCAUCGGUUUCGGCGGGGGGAUAAAGGCCCGGGGAACGUAGCUCUUUCGGGAGUGUUAUAGCCCCGGGCGUAAUGCCCUCGCCGGGACCGAGGUUCGCGCAUCUGCAAGGAUGCUGGCGUAAUGGCCGCCAACGACCCGUCUUGAAACACGGACCAAGGAGUCAAGGUUUUGCGCGAGUGUUUGGGUGUAAAACCCGCACGCGUAAUGAAAGUGAACGUAGGUGAGAGCUUCGGCGCAUCAUCGACCGAUCCUGAUGUAUUCGGAUGGAUUUGAGUAAGAGCGUUAAGCCUUGGACCCGAAAGAUGGUGAACUAUGCUUGGAUAGGGUGAAGCCAGAGGAAACUCUGGUGGAGGCUCGCAGCGGUUCUGACGUGCAAAUCGAUCGUCAAAUCUGAGCAUGGGGGCGAAAGACUAAUCGAACCAUCUAGUAGCUGGUUACCGCCGAAGUU